rnacentral:rRNA from 1 species
GUCCUCAUGUUAAGUGUUUGAGGUCUGGCCUGCCCACUGAAGGAGUUUUAAAUGGCCGCGGUAUAUUAACCGUGCGAAGGUAGCAUAGUCAAUAGUCUUUUAAUUGAAGGCUUGAAUGAAAGGUUGGACAUAAGGAAGGCUGUCUUUAUUGAUCUGAGUGAAUUUGACUUUUGUGUGAAAAGUCAUAAAUGAUUUAAGGGGACGAUAAGACCCUAUAAAACUUGAUAGUUAGUUUGGGCUUUACGAUUUUAGAGUUAAUGUAAGGUUAAGGUUAUAUACUAUUGUGCUGGGGCGGCAUGAAUAAAAUCUGUAACUGUUCUUAAAUAUAUAAUGGUUAUUUCUAGAGUUUGAGCCUGAAUUUUAGGUUAAAAGAUUAAGUUACUUUAGGGAUAACAGCGUUAUUUCUUUUGAGAGUUCAAAUCGACAAAGAUAUUUGCGACCUCGAUGUUGAAUUAAAGCUUUUUCCGGGAGUAGAAGUUCGGAAGGUAGGUCUGUUCGACCUUUAAAGCUUUACAUGAUUUGAGUUCAAACCGGUGUGAG